UUGAGAGCACUGGAGACAAAAUCUUCUCUAUACAGAGCAGGUAUAUACAGGAGGAAUCUCAGCUCUAAAAGCGUCCCUUCAUAUCCCUGCUGAUGUGCCUGUGCUGUAACCUGCAGAGACCACCUCAGGGGUGAAAGGGCAGUUCAGUCUCCCUGCCAAUUCACUUUAAGCCUCUG
rnacentral:sRNA from 1 species